UAGGGAAUAUUCGGCAAUGGGGGGAACCCUGACCGAGCAACGCCGCGUGAAAGAAGAAGUACUUCGGUAUGUAAAUUUCUUUUAUUGGGGAAGAAAGUAUUGUAGAGGAAAUGCUAUAAUAUUGACGGUACCUGAUGAAUAAGCUCCGGCUAACUAUGUGCCAGCAGCCGCGGUAAUACAUAGGGAGCGAGCGUUAUCCGGAAUUAUUGGGCGUAAAGGGUGCGUAGGCGGUAUGUGAAGUCUUUGGUUAAAAAUCUAAGCUUAACUUAGUAGUGCCAAGGAAACUGACAAACUAGAGUGUGGUAGAGGUAAGUGGAAUUCCAUGUGUAGCGGUAAAAUGCGUAAAUAUAUGGAGGAACACCAGUGGCGAAGGCGGCUUACUGGGCCACAACUGACGCUGAGGCACGAAAGCGUGGGGAGCAAACA
rnacentral:rRNA from 1 species